UUAGGUGGUAAAGCUGGCUGUCUCGCCACUCACCUCCUGCUAUGCAGCCUGGUUCCUAGCAGGCUACUUACAAGUCCACACCCCUAUUAUAAAGUAUAAUUGAGCAGCAACAUCAUGGAAUCAUGGAACAAUACUUGACUUUCUAGGGGGAAGUGUGAAGGAGUGAAGAGGACAGACAGGGUCUUGCUGGAGUGCAGUCCCAGGCUGAAGAGAACCUCUCACCUCAGCUCCCAGAAUUGCUAGGACUACAGCCAUUUCCAGCUUCUGGUAAUCAUUCUAUUCUCUACUUCAAUGAGAUCAACUUCUGUGGCUCCCACAUAUGCCUGAGAACAGAUGCUGGUUACGUGAGUGUGCUCACUUUGAUUUGUGUGUGUUCCUGUACGUUAUACUUCAAUACAUUUUAUUGACAACUCCGGUUGGUGACACAGAUAUAAUUAUGCAUAAAAUAAAACAAAUAAAAUACGUACCCCACAACAAACACUACCAGUGUCCACGUGCCUAGGCUGCGCCUUGGGACUAG
rnacentral:lncRNA from 10 species